rnacentral:rRNA from 12 species
UCCGUGCCAGCAGCCGCGGUAAUACGGAGGGUGCAAGCGUUGUCCGGAUUUAUUGGGUUUAAAGGGUACGUAGGCGGAAUUUUAAGUCAGUAGUGAAAGCCCAUCGCUUAACGAUGGAACUGCUAUUGAAACUGAAAUUCUUGAAUAUAGUUGAAGUAGGCGGAAUACGGCAUGUAGCGGUGAAAUGCAUAGAUAUGCCGUGGAACACCAAUCGCGAAGGCAGCUUACUAAGCUAUUAUUGACGCUAAUGUACGAAAGCGUGGGUAGCGAACAGGAUUAGAUACCCUGGUAGUCCACGCCGUAAACGAUGAUUACUCGGUGCUGGCGAUAUACUGUCAGUGCCUAAGCGAAAGUGAUAAGUAAUCCACCUGGGGAGUACGAUCGCAAGGUUGAAACUCAAAGGAAUUGACGGGGUCCCGCACAAGCGGUGGAGCAUGUGGUUUAAUUCGACGCAACGCGAAGAACCUUACCUGGCCUUGACAUGCAGAGAACUUUCCAGAGAUGGAUUGGUGCCUUCGGGAACUCUGACACAGGUGCUGCAUGGCCGUCGUCAGCUCGUGUCGUGAGAUGUUGGGUUAAGU